rnacentral:rRNA from 1 species
GACGAACGCUGGCGGCGUGCUUAACACAUGCAAGUCGAACGGAAAGGCCCUGCUUUUGUGGGGUGCCCGAGUGGCGAACGGGUGAGUAACACGUGAGUAACCUGCCCUUGACUUUGGGAUAACUUCAGGAAACUGGGGCUAAUACCGGAUAGGAGCUCCUGCUGCAUGGUGAGGGUUGGAAAGUUUCGGCGGUUGGGGAUGGACGCGCGGCUUAUCAGCUUGUUGGUGGGGUAGUGGCUUACCAAGGCUGUGACGGAUAGCCGGCCUGAGAGGGUGACCGGCCACAUUGGGACUGAGGGAGGGCCCAGACUGCUACGUGAGGCAGCAGGGGGGAGUAUUGCACAAUGGUCGGAAGCCGGAGGCAGCGACGUCGCGGGCGUGAUGACGGUCUUCGGGGUGUGAACCGCUGUCGCCUGUGACGAAGCGGUUGUGACGGUAAUGGGUAAAGAAGCACCGGCUAACUACGUG